GAGAGAGAGAGAGAGGGGGGGGGGUUGGAACAGGGAAUGGGUAUUUUUUGACGUGAAAGGAGGGUACUAAUUUAUUUGAUGAGGAAAAAGAAUAACGCCUUAUCCUCGUUGGGCCAAGGGAGUAAGGGGCAUUUCCAGUCACUCCGGAUUCCUUGUUUUAUGCUUGGCGAUAAUUAUUAAACACCGACCUUUAAAACUAAUAAUCUGAUUAAAAGCAUAGAUUUGUUAUAAAUUAUAAAUUUUUAUACAUUAACCUUUAGAUGUGGCGUAGGAGUGUUAGAAAGGGAGAUUGUUAAGGUUUUUCCCCCUCUUCUUUUUCUUUACUGGUUCAUCGUAGACUAUGUUUUCUUUUCGUUCUUUUUCUUUAGAAGAGUCUAGCACAACAACGUGGAGUACAGAUCUGCUAGAUUGUGCAAACACUAACUAUGUUUUCUACAGCUAUUUUUGUCACUAAUUAUUUUUUAACAUUUCACUUUUAUUUCGUUGUUUUCCUCGCUCAAUUUAUGGUUUUUGAAACCUUUUGGUCCAGUUUACUGUUAUCCAUUAAUUAUCAUCUCGUGUGCUAACAAAUCAUAAGAGCCGGUAAAGAGUUGUAUAGAGCUAUCUUUUACCCAAGCAAAUUUUCC
rnacentral:misc_RNA from 1 species